CUCCAGAUGUUGCUGAACUACAACUCCCAUGAUUCUAUGAUUGAAAUAGAUGGACUGAGAAUCAUGGGAGUUGUAGUUCAGCAACAUCUGGAG